GGUGGGCGCCCUGGCGAACCUCCACGUAGUCCCACUCCUGCACUCCGGGUCCCAGGCCAACACGUCCUGGAAAAAUACAACUAGAUCUCAGGAAUGGCAUAUCAUUUUCAAGGUCAUUUGCACUGAUGACAAGUUGUUCCGAAAUCUCGCUUGCAGCCACCACUCAAAAUUUACAUUUAUUUUCGAUUGCAGCUUGUCUGCUUUUCAUGUCCAACGCCGAUGUUUUUAUGUCGUAAUUGUCAAAGUUAAAAUUGCUUCAUUACGAUUUCAACGCGUCUAGAACAAUGGACAGCUCUGUGGGUGCCAAAAAAGAAAGGAAAAAAGAGAACCGGCUGUCCAGAAGCCCGAAAAAAAGGAGUGGUAAAUGAAUCCGAUUUCUGUUUUCUGUUUUCUGUGGCUGCACCCGGAAAAGUAAUUAACAAAUGUUUGUUUGUUCCACGCAAGUCAAAAGCAGAACGGCAAAAAAAGCUUAUGAAGCGAGCAGCUCCUUCGUCCACGGCUCGUUCUGGCUGCUUUUGACAACGGCAAGUGGUUUGGAGCCCACAAAACCAACCAUCUCGCAGGAUACACAUCCCAGCACCAUCCAGUACCACCCAGCACCACCCAGCACCACCCAGCACCACCCAGCACCACCCAGCACCACCCGGCACCACGCAAAACCCACUGCCAAUUUUGACCGGGUCGGAGUGCAGUUUUAAUGAGCGCGCCACCUGGCGGCGGCGUCUGUCAUCGGAGGCCAGUUGACGCUGGGUUGCGACCGCAAACGGAAAUCAAUUUGCCACGGGAGCAAAACCAAAAUUGCCAGUUCAAUGCCUUUUCGAUUGUCCAUUAAGCAGCCCGUGCAGCUCGUGCAGCUCUCAGAUCGCUUUUUGCCCGCUGCCAAAAGUCAUUUUCAAGCAAUUGGCCUGGCUGGCACAGCAAUCCUGCAGAUACAAAUGCCGGCGAUGCAGGGAAACCAGCAGAAAGGAGUAGGGUGUUCCAACAUACAGUUCCUCUCCAUGACGUUGCCAACAUUUCCGUAAAUGAAUUUCCUUGAAAUGAAUAAAUAGGCCACAUAAUUG